rnacentral:rRNA from 1 species
AGAACGAACGCUGGCGGCAUGCCUAACACAUGCAAGUCGAACGCUCUUGGGGUUUCGGCCUCAAGGGAGUGGCGCACGGGUGAGUAGCGCGUGGGAACCUGCCCUGUUGUGGGGGAUAACCGAGGGAAACUUCGGCUAAUACCGCAUGCGCCCCGGAGCAAUCCGGGGGAAAGAUUUAUCGCAGCAGGAGGGGCCCGCGUCGGAUUAGCUAGUUGGUGGGGUAACGGCCCACCAAGGCUGUGAUCCGUAGCUGGUCUGAGAGGAUGAUCAGCCACACUGGGACUGAGACACGGCCCAGACUCCUACGGGAGGCAGCAGUGGGGAAUAUUGGACAAUGGGCGCAAGCCUGAUCCAGCAAUGCCGCGUGAGUGAUGAAGGCCUUAGGGUGUAAAGCUCUUUCGCCCGCGACGAUGAUGACGGUAGCGGGAGAAGAGCCCGGCUAACUUCGCGCCAGCAGCCGCGGUAA